rnacentral:lncRNA from 1 species
GGUAAAUAACACGAUCUUGGGGUUCAUGGUGUGUUCAGAUAUCCCGCAACAGCAAGUCAUUCAGACGAUCAGUGCUGCUCUCUUAGCAGGGGACACUCCUCAAGCAGGACUGGAUUAAUCCAUGGGAGCGAGCAGCUGAGCCGUGAGAAGCCAGAAAGCCUGAUGUGGUCCACCCCUUUCCCUGGAAUCACUCCUUUCCAUGUGGGCUGAAUGCCCACGUGCAGCUGUCUGAUCUCAGGAUUUCUAUCAUCCAGAGUAUUCUCUGGAAGCUCCAGCGGGGUUGGCCCAGCUCCUGGCUUCCUCUCCUGGCAACAGCCUCAGGUCUUUUUGAUGAAUUGAAUGAGAAGUGGAGCCCUCAGGUCCAGUCCUGAUCCUGCAGGUAAGCAGGUGCUUGCUCAUGAAGCUUACACAGAACUCAUGUGACCACGAAGCCAAGGUGGCCGAGAGAAGGCAGCUUCCUGGAAUCUCAGCCUUCCACCAGGCCAGGAGCCAGUCUGCUGCUUCUGUCUGCCUGUACCAAGCAUCUCCCUCAGAGGGAGGAGCCAUGGCCCCAGAAGAUGCUAAGCACUAAAGGAGGCCAUAUGCUUCUACCUUACCAGGUUUUCCGAUGCCCGUGGAGGUCAGAAGAGGGUACCGGACCAAUGGAAUUCAGGUGGCUGUGGUGAGCGCUGUGGGUUGUGAGAACUGAACCUGGGUCCUCUGUAAGAAGGACAAGAGCUCAUGACUGCUUAUCUUCUCUCUGGCCCCUCAUUUUACCUUCACGGGGUCUUGCGUGGCCCAGCCUCACCUCUGAGCUGCUGCUCAGAGAAGGUGGUGGAGAGACUUCAAAGAAUGAAACAAGAUGGCGUGACCCCGGGCCCUUUGAAACUGAGCCAGACCUGGAAUCCAGCCCCUGCCUGCUUUCUUCUGCACUGAAGAAUAAGGACCUUCUAAGCCUUGUGUAUCCGCUCUUCCUUAGCCUGGGAUCGGGGGUUCAAGACCAUUCUCGCCCACUACACAGCAUGUGUGGAGCUGGGCUGGUCACGUGAGAACCCUGCCUUAAUUAAUUAAUUAAUUAAUUAAUGAGUUU